ACCUGGUUGGCUCACUCAGUAGAGCAUGCGACUCUUGACCUCAGAGUUGUGGGUUCAAGCCCCAUGUUGGGUA
rfam:Canis lupus familiaris chromosome 25, whole genome shotgun sequence.